AUGCAGCCAUGCCGCGUGUAUGAAGAAGGCCUUCGGGUUGUAAAGUACUUUCAGCGAGGAGGAAGGCAUUAAGGUUAAUAACCUUAGUGAUUGACGUUACUCGCAGAAGAAGCACCGGCUAACUCCGUGCCAGCAGCCGCGGUAAUACGGAGGGUGCAAGCGUUAAUCGGAAUUACUGGGCGUAAAGCGCACGCAGGCGGUUUGUUAAGUCAGAUGUGAAAUCCCCGGGCUCAACCUGGGAACUGCAUUUGAAACUGGCAAGCUUGAGUCUUGUAGAGGGGGGUAGAAUUCCAGGUGUAGCGGUGAAAUGCGUAGAGAUCUGGAGGAAUACCGGUGGCGAAGGCGGCCCCCUGGACAAAGACUGACGCUCAGGUGCGAAAGCGUGGGGAGCAAACAGGAUUAGAUACCCUG
rnacentral:rRNA from 1 species